rnacentral:lncRNA from 1 species
GUUUCUCCUCUUCUCUCACCUUCUUCAAUCUUCACGCCACAAAGCCCAAAUUCAUCAUCGUCAAUUUGUCAUCAUCCUUGUCAAUAUUCAAGUAAUUCCCAAGCAUCAUCAUCAACAGCUCAUCAUCAUCCUCGAUAUUCAAUUCAUCCCGUCGUCGUUCUUUUUCAUCAAUUCGUCGCGUCGCCAUCCAUGAUUCACUAUCGUCUUCAUCGCGUCACCAUUCAUCUUGAUUACAUCAUCAACAUACAUGCUUCUUGGGAAUUAAUAGUGCUUUGAGGUGAUAUUAACAUAUGUGGGUCAGCUUUUAUCUCUAAAUCAUGAUUCAUUUCAAUUCAUUUAUAUUCAAGUUGUCUCGAUUGUAAAGAAUCUAUAAUCCUUUAAUCCAUUGGUGCUUGCGAUUUGAACUCUUUCUGGAAUUUUUCAUAACCUGAAACAAGUUUAUGUUUUUCAGUUCAUUCAGUUAUCCGGGUUUUAAACCUGACAUCCGGAAAGCCGGAUUUCUCCGAGUUGAACCCGCACCGGACCCGGAGCCAAAAAAUCCGGGUUUAUAUCCGGAUCCGAAAUGCAAAAUUGUCAUCCGGGUCCGAAACCAGGAAGGCUAAACCCAGACCUGGACCCGGAUUUUGCCAUCCCUAGAGUAGACCAUAUCAUAAUUAAAUAAAAAUAUCAUAGUAUAGACGGCAUAGCCAACCAUAUAAAAAUUAAAUAAGAAAAUAUGAAAAUAUAGAUGGCAUAGCUGACCAUAUAAGGAUUAAAUAAGAAAAUAUCAAAUAUAGGUGGCAUAGCCAACCAUAUAAAGAUUAAACAAUAAAUAAUCACAUCAUAGUAGUCAUCAUAAGAUAAAAAAAUAAUUAAAGAUGAAUUUAAGUGUGGAAAGAACAUUAUCCGUAAACUACAGUUGAAGUGUUACUUAUCUCUUAAUCUUGACUUCUCUAGGCCCUCAUAAUUUGAGGAUUUCUCUCUUGUUUGAUGUUACUACUUAGAAUAGAAGAGGACAGAAUUUCUAAAGUGAUAUAGAAAAUGAAAGGGCUAGGGGUACUUAUAGGAUUUCCUAAAACUAAUGGAUGGUUAAGGUUUUGCCACUAUAACUUUUGAUUAAUGGUUGAGAUUUAUCCUUGCAUAAAUAUCUCUGUAAAUUCUAGAAUUUAUUAAUAUUUUAUAGAUAUCUUGUUGCAUAAUUACUUAUGUCAUCGCUUAUGUCAUCAUUACUCUAGAAUUUUCUAUCAUAAAUAUUUUCUAUUAUUAUUAUUUUAAUAGGUAAGGGGAUUUAUUAGCCUAAAAAUUAAUUCUACUAUAUUCAAAUGAGAAAUUUAUAUCUCACAAUUUCCUCCCCAUUACGAAAAUUUUAUGCUCGAAAUUGAUUUAUUGAAUAGCUCAGGAUACUUAUUCUUCAUAUUUUCUUCACAUUCCCAUGUUGCCUCCCCCAUCGAGCUAUUUCGUCAUAGUAUUUUAACUAGAAAAAUCUUCUUGCUUUUUAUCUCCUUUAUCUUUCUAUCAAAUACUUGGAUUGGACGUUCUCCAUAGGUUAAGUUUUCUCCUAGUUGAAAAGCCUUAUAAUCUAGCACAUGAGAGGGGGUCUGUAACAUAUUUCUUUAACAUAAAGAUAUGAAAAGAAAUUGUGUAUCCUUGACAAUGGUAGAAGAGCAAGUCGGUACGAAACGUUCUUGACAUAUUCAAGUAUUUCAAAUGGUCCAAUAAACCUCGAAAUUAAAUUUCCUUUUACAAAUACCUUAUCACCAACUUGAAAUUCUGAAGGCCUUAAGCUCUUAUCUACAUGACUUUUCUGUUAACUUUGAGUUGCCUAUAUUCUUGGACGUAUUUUCUCGAUCGCCUUAGAUGAGACAACAAUGAGGCUGGGCCCAAGCUACCUUUGCUCACCCAUUUCAUUCCAAUGAAUAGGUGACCUACAUUUUUUACCAUAUAGAGUUUCGUAGAGUGCCAUGCCGAUUAUUGCUUGAUAACUAUUAUUGUAGGCAAAUGCAACCAAAGGUAGAUAUUUGCUCUAUGAUAUUUGAAAGUCGAUAGUGCAUCCCCGUAAUAUAUCUUCUAAUGUCUAGAUCGUUGUUUCUAACAGACCAUUUGUUUGAGGGUAAAAUGUUGUACUAAAUUUUAAUUUUGUUCUCAUAGCUCUAUGUAACUUUUCCUAAAAUGUUGAGGUGAACCUUGUAUCUCGAUCAAAGAUAAUAGAAAUAGGUACACCAUAUAGUCUUACUAUCUCCUUUAUGUAUAUUUCUGCAAAUUGGUUUAUAGUGCACGUCAUUCAAAUAGGUAAAAAGUGGGCAGACUUUAUGAGUCAAUUGACGAUCAGCCAAAUGGCAUCAUGCAUUUCUUUUUCAAUUUUUUCAUUACUGUUGGUAUUUAUGCAAUGUUUUAGAAAGUUAAACUGCAAUGUGAGAGCUUAUGUGAAGAAGGUUCUAAGUAUUUGUUGCUUUCUUUCUUUUUUCCUUUUUGUUUGAUUUUGAAUCAUUUUUUUCAUUUCUUCUGGUUUGCACUCAUGCAGUUCAUCCAUUUUGUAAAUGUUGGAUAAGGAUCUUUGGCUACCGGUAAUUAGGGCCAGUUAGAUGCGUUUAUUACAAGAACAAAAGUGUCAAAGAUUUUUUUAUUUUUGAUCCAUUUGAAUACAUGAUAGUUUUUUUUGCUCACUCAAUUUCUACUUUGUAGCAUUCCUGGUAGUAUACCUUUUGAUUACAUUGAUCUUGUGGUCUUUCACAAAUGUUGAAUUACAGACAUGCGCCUCUACCUUGUCGCAUUUGCGAACAUUGUGUUCUCCCAUAGGGCAAAAAGGUAAACUACUUAUUGUUGUGCAUGAUUUUGUUUUAUUGAGGGUUCAUUCAUGCUUAGUUUUGUUUUUCUUUUAUGCAUCACCAUGUUGUUAUUUUGUUAAUUUGUUGCAUAUAAUUAAUUGUUUUCACUUUAUUUUUCUAAAGAAGUUUUCAUUUACUAGGUACACAAGUAAAACCUAAGCUGGCACAUAAUACACAAUGGGGUAAGAUUUGUUCCUUUCCAACACUUUUAGGACAAGUAAGUUAAAAUUGUGCUUAUAGGAUAUAUCUAUAAUAUCUUUUUUUGAUUGUAGCUUACAAGAAUUUGUUUUGGUUAAUCCAG